rnacentral:rRNA from 1 species
GACAGAGGGUGCAAACGUUGUUCGGAAUUACUGGGCGUAAAGCGUGUGUAGGCGGCCCUGCAAGUCGGAUGUGAAAGCCCCGGGCUCAACCCGGGAAGUGCACCCGAAACUAGCAGGCUCGGAGUACCGGAGAGGUUGGUGGAAUUCUCGGUGUAGAGGUGAAAUUCGUAGAUAUCGAGAGGAACACCGGUGGCGAAGGCGGCCAACUGGACGAGUACUGACGCUGAGACACGAAAGCGUGGGGAGCAAACAGG